GUUUGAUCAUGGCUCAGAACGUACGCUGGCGGCACGCCUAACACAUGCAAGUCGAACGAAGUAGCAAUACUUAGUGGCAGACGGGUGAGUAACAUGUAGGUAUCUUCCCUUUGGUGAGGAAUAACACGAGGAAACUUGUGCUAAUACCUCAUAAGUCUUUACGGAGAAAGCUUUAUGCGCCGAAGGAUGAGCCUGCAUUUGAUUAGUUUGUUGGUGGGGUAAUGGCCUACCAAGACUUUGAUCAAUAGCUGAUCUGAGAGGAUGAUCAGCCACAUUGGGACUGAGACACGGCCCAAACUCCUACGGGAGGCAGCAGUAGGGAAUAUUGCACAAUGGAGGAAACUCUGAUGCAGCGAUGCCGCGUGAGUGAAGAAGGCCCUUGGGUUGUAAAGCUCUUUCGUCGGGGAAGAAAAUGACUGUACCCGAAUAAGAAGGUCCGGCUAACUUCGUGCCAGCAGCCGCGGUAAUACGAAGGGACCUAGCGUAGUUCGGAAUUACUGGGCUUAAAGAGUUCGUAGGUGGUUAAAAAAGUUGGUGGUGAAAUCCCAGAGCUUAACUCUGGAACUGCCAUCAAAACUUUUUAGCUAGAGUAUGAUAGAGGAAAGCAGAAUUUCUAGUGUAGAGGUGAAAUUCGUAGAUAUUAGAAAGAAUACCAAUUGCGAAGGCAGCUUUCUGGAUCAUUACUGACGCUGAGGAACGAAAGCAUGGGUAGCGAAGAGGAUUAGAUACCCUCGUAGUCCAUGCCGUAAACGAUGUGUGUUAGACGUUGGAAAUUUAUUUUCAGUGUCGCAGCGAAAGCGUUAAACACACCGCCUGGGGAGUACGACCGCAAGGUUAAAACUCAAAUGAAUUGACGGGGACCCGCACAAGUAGUGGAGCAUGUGGUUUAAUUCGAAGAUACGCGCAGAACCUUACCAACACUUGACAUGUUCGUCGCGACUUUAAGAGAUUAAAGUUUUCGGUUCGGCCGGACGAAACACAGGUGCUGCAUGGCUGUCGUCAGCUCGUGUCGUGAGAUGUUCCGUUAAGUCGGAUAACGAGCGCAACCCUUACCCUUAUUUGCCAGCGAUUCGGUCGGGAACUAUAAGGGGACUGCCGGUGAUAAACCGGAGGAAGGUGAGGACGACGUCAAGUCAUCAUGGCCCUUACGAGUAGGGCUACACACGUGCUACAAUGGGGAAUACAGACGGACGCUAAGCCGCGAGGUGGUGCUAAUCCUAGAAAGUUCUUCGUAGUCCGGAUUGGAGUCUGCAACUCGACUCCAUGAAGUCGGAAUCGCUAGUAAUCGCGAAUCAGCAUGUCGCGGUGAAUACGUUCUCGGGUCUUGUACACACCGCCCGUCACACCAUGGAAGUGGAUUGCACCAGAAGUAGAUAGUCUAACCUUCGGGAGGGCGUUUACCACGGUGUGCUUCAUGACUGGGGUGAAGUCAUAACAAGGUAACCGUA
rnacentral:rRNA from 1 species